rnacentral:rRNA from 15 species
UAACUGACGCUGAGGAGCGAAAGCGUGGGGAGCGAACAGGCUUAGAUACCCUGGUAGUCCACGCUGUAAACGGUGGGUACUAGGUGUGGGGUCCAUUCCACGGGUUCCGUGCCGUAGCUAACGCUUUAAGUACCCCGCCUGGGGAGUACGGCCGCAAGGCUAAAACUCAAAGGAAUUGACGGGGGCCCGCACAAGCGGCGGAGCAUGCGGAUUAAUUCGAUGCAACGCGAAGAACCUUACCAAGGCUUGACAUAUACCGGAAACGGCCAGAGAUGGUCGCCCCGCAAGGUCGGUAUACAGGUGGUGCAUGGUUGUCGUCAGCUCGUGUCGUGAGAUGUUGGGUUAAGUCCCGCAACGAGCGCAACCCUCGUUCUAUGUUGCCAGCACGUUAUGGUGGGAACUCAUAGGAGACUGCCGGGGUCAACUCGGAGGAAGGUGGGGAUGACGUCAAAUCAUCAUGCCCCUUAUGUCUUGGGCUUCACGCAUGCUACAAUGGCCGGUACAAAGGGCUGCGAUACCGUAAGGUGGAGCGAAUCCCAAAAAGCCGGUCUCAGUUCGGAUUGGGGUCUGCAACUCGACCCCAUGAAGUCGGAGUCGCUAGUAAUCGCAGAUCAGCAACGCUGCGGUGAAUACGUUCCCGGGCCUUGUACACACCGCCCGUCACACCACGAGAGUUUGUAACACCCGAAGCCGGUUGGCCAACCUUUUAGGAGGCCGCUGUCGAAGGUGGGAUGGAUGAUUGGGGUGAAGUCGUAACAAGGUAGCCGUACCGGAAGGUGCGGCUGGAUCACCUCCUU